CCUACGGGGAGCAGCAGUGGGGAAUAUUGGGCAAUGGGCGAAAGCCUGACCCAGCAACGCCGCGUGAAGGAAGAAGGCUUACGGGUUGUAAACUUCUUUUGACAGGGAAGAGCAGAAGACGGUACCUGUCGAAUAAGCCACGGCUAACUACGUGCCAGCAGCCGCGGUAAUACGUAGGUGGCAAGCGUUGUCCGGAUUUACUGGGGGUAAAGGGCGUGUAGCCGGGCUGACAAGUCAGAUGUGAAAUCCGGGGGCUCAACCCCCGAACUGCAUUUGAAACGGUUGGUCUUGAGUAUCGGAGAGGCAGGCGGAAUUCCUAGUGUAGCGGUGAAAUGCGUAGAUAUUAGGAAGAACACCAGUGGCGAAGGCGGCCUGCUGGACGACAACUGACGGUGAGGCGCGAAAGCGUGGGGAGCAAACAGGAUUAGAUACCCUUGUAGUC
rnacentral:rRNA from 1 species